rnacentral:rRNA from 1 species
CCUACGGGUGGCAGCAGUGGGGAAUAUUGGACAAUGGGGGGAACCCUGAUCCAGCGACGCCGCGUGAGUGAAGAAGUAUUUCGGUAUGUAAAGUUCUAUCAGCAGGGAAGAAAAUGACGGUACCUGACUAAGAAGCACCGGCUAACUACGUGCCAGCAGCCGCGGUAAUACGUAGGGGGCAAGCGUUAUCCGGAUUUACUGGGGGUAACGGGAGCGUAGACGGUGCAGCAAGUCUGAUGUGAAAGGUCGGGGCUCAACCCGGGGACUGCAUUGGAAACUGUUGAACUGGAGUACAGGAGAGGGAAGCGGAAUUCCAAGUGUAGCGGUGAAAUGCGUAGAGAUGUGGAGGAACACCAGUGGCGAAGGCGGCCUACUGGACUGUAACUGACGUUGAGGCGCGAAAGCGUGGGGAGCAAACAGGAUUAGAUACCCGGGUAGUC